GCGUUUUGACCCAGCGCUGCAGUUCUUGUAUAAAAAAGUCCGCGACAGCCAGGCGUUGGGGAGGAUUCACCGGAUAUCAACGAUUAGCAGCAUAUAUCCAGCAGCUUCUCUUAGCUUCCUAAAAAAGUCAGGUACUGAGCAGCUUCCUUCUAAAAAGUUUAUUCUCAAAGGAUUAGAAGUUUACUUGCCCCAUGUUCUCGCAGAAAGUCCCUUCUGUUUGUGUGUUCCGAAGAUGCAUGCUUUUUGUCUUCUGAGGAGUAUUUUCUUUACCAAGCUUUAUUUCUGUUGCGCGAGUAUUUCUGUUUACUCUUUGUAUUAGUUUUUGUUUGGGGGGAUUUUUUUGUAUUGGGCUCAGUGCAGUUCAGGAAUGUAAAUUUAYUGUGGGUUUUAAAUAUGAAGACCUUAAUGCCCAGUUUUGCUUCUUCCAGGUGGAAUUUUUUAUAACGCUGCUGUGCAUGAUAUAGAUAUUAUCAGUUUGUUGUUGGGAGAGAGUGCACCAGAUACAGUAUUUUCACUGGGACAUGCAUUCUGUGCAGAUAUGGCCUACUUGAAGGAUGCAGACACUGUAGCAGUCAGCAUGAAAUUUCCUAGCGGAGCAAUUGUUACUUUGGACAUCAGUCAGCACUGCACUAAAAGCUGUGAUCAGAGACUAGAGGUUCACGGUUCUCAAGGAACGUUACGGGUAGAUAAUCAGAAUCCCUUGGGAAUUACGGAGCACGGAACUUCUGUAUCCAUCUAUUCACASACCCAAGCCGAUCGUUACAGAGAUGCACACAGAGAGCUCUUUCGACACUUUCUUAGAACCCUGAAAGGCAAAGAACCUCCCGUGAUAACCAAAGAACAGUUUCUCUGGACAAUUCAGGUAGCGGCAGCUGCUGAACAGUCCUGGAGAAAUGGAUCUGCUGUUGACUUACGCAAUGAAGCAAUAGAUUCGUCUGUAAUCAAGACUGAAAUAAUGUGAUACGCACUGCUGUUUUUUGAGAAAGCAAUCUGUGAAUGUGURCAGUGGGCCUGUACAACGUCUGUUACCGAGAGAGGUGCGUGUCGGCUGGGCUGCUCAGUGCGUGGAUCCAGCGUUGUCUGAUUACUCACUGCAACAGCGAGGUAGCUGUCGGCGUGCUCGUUUUCCUUGCUUAAAUGCAAACCUUGUAUGUUAAUACUUUAGUAGCAAAAGUGGACUAAUAAUCGCUUUCCUUGAGUGUAGGAAGGGGGUGAUUACAUAUUUUAAAGAUAUUUUUUUACAGUCCAGCAUAUUUGGAAUAUACAUCACAGAAAAAGAUAGUGCCUUCAACAACAGGCAAGUCUGCUUUUAAGCCAGGUUAUUUGUAUCUUUUUAUUCUUACGUUGAGCUUAUUGCAGAUAUAUAGGUUUGACUAUUCUUGUCUGUAUUUCUCAUAUGCCAGUUUUCAAGCUCUUUUGAAAGCUUUUUUAUUGUAUUAAAAGAACAUUCUUGCCUUGAGUGUUAGCUGAUACACACGUCACUUUUCUUCUUGAAAGAUUCUUUAAUUCUGUCACUUUCCAAUCCUAUAUUUGCAGCAUAAGACUAAAACUAGAAAUAGCUGUGACAUUUAUAACUAAACACAAUUCUCUUGUGGAAAUUGUUUUUAACAGUGUAAUUUUUUCAAACAUGGGAAAGCUAUGGCUGAAUGAUAAAGAUUACUAUCCAUUUCCUACCCUAUUUUCUAGUCAUUUCUUGGAAAAAUAGUU
rnacentral:lncRNA from 1 species